GCGGCUGUAAUGGCCCUAAACUCGGGAAUGCGAGGCGGUUGCUCUCAGCGGAAAACUGUCCAUUAGUGCGCUGGUUCAAGACUGUCCCCUCCAGAAAACUUGGUAGUCAAUUGUCCUUCGACACGCAAGUGUUGUCUGGACUUGGAAUAAUCGGUCCUUGACUGGUCAGGGAAGCAAUUCCGCAUCCAGCAGGACCUACCGAGUUAGUCGUAGGAGAUCGGGGCAUGUCGUCGGCCGCGCUGUGGAUCGCGCCUCUCGCAAACCU
rnacentral:SRP_RNA from 1 species